UACGUAGGGGGCUAGCGUUGUCCGGAAUCAUUGGGCGUAAAGAGCGUGUAGGCGGCCCGGUAAGUCCGCUGUAAAAGUCAAAGGCUCAACCUUUGAAUGUCAGUGGAUACUGCCGGGCUAGAGUCCGGAAGAGGCGAGUGGAACUCCUGGUGUAGCGGUGGAAUGCGCAGAUAUCAGGAAGAACACCCGUGGCGAAGGCGGCUCUCUGGGACGGUACCGACGCUGAGACGCGAAAGCGUGGGGAGCGAACAGG
rnacentral:rRNA from 1 species